GACGAGGGGUCCUAGCGUUGUUCGGAAUUAUUGGGCGUAAAGCGGGUGUAGGCGGCCGAGUCAGUCAGGAGUGAAAGCCCUGGGCUUAACCCAGGAAGUGCUUUUGAUACUGCUCGGCUUGAGUGUGGGAGAGGGUAGUGGAAUUCCUGGUGUAGUGGUGAAAUACGUAGAUAUCAGGAGGAACACCGGUGGCGAAGGCGGCUACCUGGCCCAACACUGACGCUCAGACCCGAAAGCGUGGGGAGCAAACAGG
rnacentral:rRNA from 1 species